rnacentral:lncRNA from 1 species
GAAAAACUCAGUUAAUUAUUUUCACCCAAUGCCCUGUAUAUAUCAUGUGCCCAGACAAAUUAGUCAGAGAGAGCAUAAACUCAAGCUCAGGCAGACACACAUGUUUGCAUGCAGGAGAGCUCUUAAAAGAUUAUAUAAUAAAAAGUGACAAAUGCAGGAAACAGGUAAACAAGAAAGGCUUAACUAUCCUAAGGGGAAAAAAUUAAUUAAACUAACAAGUCUAUACAUGAGCUUUUAUGAAAAUU